GCAGAGGAAACCAAUGAAAAACAGUUCUUCAGGGCUGUUUCUGCAAAAGACAGUGCUAAAGGAGGCUGGAGACCUUUUGGAUGCAUCAUUACUUUUUUAGGUUAACUAUUGCAGGUACAUAACCAUAACCAAUCAAUGACAGUUUUUGUGCAUUGUAUAAGCACAGAUAUUCUGGAGAUCAUUGCUUAAAAAAUC